rnacentral:sRNA from 1 species
UAAAUAUGUAUGGGCGGCAUUUCGGAAUGGGCUAUAUUUUUGCCUAUGCAUGCAUAAAUAGGUGCUCGUUAUAAAGGUUCCAGCUGAAUAGGCCGUAGAUGGGAAGUUGGAGAAAGAGAUUGAUAUGGUAGAAAGUAUUGGAUGGAACGAAUGCAUGAAGACUCAAUGUGGUCGUAGCGAAAUUAAUUAGAGCAUUCGACUUGAUUUCGAGCUAUGCGAUAUCGGCGGAUAUAGUACUCCUUCCCCGCUCUAACUGUAAAUUAUUGGAAUUUUGUCUCAAUUUGUAGAUUCUGCAAUCUCAAUUACCUAGGCAAAAAAACUUUCUCAGGAAGCUGCUCAGUGACUGUGGAAAAACUAGUUUAAAUUUCCACUUGGCCAUCGCUCACUUUUUGUUCAGCGCUGAUUGAUCUGAUAGUGCAAAAAAUGUUUAAUAUAUAUAUAUGUAUAUAUAUAAAUUGAUUUCUUGACGUCUACGCGCUAUCCAUCAAAAUGGGACUUGCCUUUAAAGUUUUUACGAAAUUUCUUUAAUGGUUUUGUGCCAUUUCUUUCGUCAUUAUCUGUAACUAAAAAUUUCACCCGAGCCAUUAAAGAAGAACGCGCAGAUUUUAGUCGAACUAAUUAAACCGAAUCUUAUAUAAUGAACCGUGAACACAAUAACAACCGUGAAGACGCAGACGCGGCGAUUGAAACAUUGAGACUGUCAUCAAUCAAAGGCAGAUUCUUGGCCAGCUUCUCAUCCUCGACUCGAGCAUAAUUCAAAUUCCAAGCGAAUUUCCAGUUCGUUGCUUGAGUCUUUUGUUCUGCGCCACGGCCCCGAAAAUAACUUUUGGCAGUGACUGUGCCUUAAGCUCAAAAUUAAACAGCAAGCCCGGGCAAAAUAAAUCACAAAAUGGGGCCCAGAAACAAGGCGAGCUCAUUGCAAAUUACAUGCUGUUCCAGGGGCAGUGCUGACUUUGACGGGGCCAGCACAAUUGCGGACGUGAAUGAUGGCACCACGGCUAAUCCCCAGAUACCCAGAUUCAGAGAUCCGAGAUCCCCUCUACCGAGAUCCCCGAAUUCGAAACACAUAAAUCCAGGCCAAGUCAAAGUCCAAUAAAAAUGUCGAGCAAAUGCAAAAGAGCGACAAAUGCUUGACGGACCAAAUGUCAGAGUUAAUUUAUCUAAAAGCAUUGCCCGACUUUUCGCUGCUAGACGGCUGCUAAAAGAAGACAGAGAUCGGAUAAUUUUAAUUAAGACAAAAUAUUUGAAAUUCUGCACAAGACAACGAGAGAGAGAGGGAGAGAGAGCGAGGGAGAGAGAUGGCCAUGAUCGAGUGAUAAGUGCAAGAGAAAAGCACCGUUUUGUCCCCGUCUCUUGGCCACUUUUCAUUCGGAAAUCGGAAUCCGUCGAGAAAGAGAGCGAAACAGGUUAUAUCCGUGUGGUGGUGGCCCGCAUGGCCAAAAGACCAAGCCUAAGCCAAAAGACGCCCGCAUAGGUUGCCUAUCUGCUUUUUUCCGCCAUCUAAUAUGCUACACAUAAAUUGUUUAACAAAUUUAAUUUUAAAGUUCAGCCCGCAAUGCCCUGCGACAACGGCAACGACAACAGCAACAAUUGUGGCAGCAACUAUGUCAGUCACUCGGCAACAUGGCCAACUAGCAAGUAGAAACAACAUUCCAGCUGCCUCCCCCCGCGCACCUGCACCGCCGCCCUCUCCUCACCAUCCCCCCUCGCCAGUUGCCCCCCUGCUCUAGCUGGCAAUCGUCAAGCUCGUAACUAGCUGCAGCUACAAGUUGCCGUUUCUAAUACAAAACUGUCGCUUGUGGCGUGAGAGACUGCAACUCCGGCCACCGAGCUCUCUUGGCCACGAUUCGCGGCAAGCUUUGGCUUUCGAGACAACAACAGCAGAAAAAAAAAAAA